GUUAGGGCAGCACAGGCAGUGCUGUACACCAUCUGCAGAUUCACCUGGCGGCCCACCAGCUCCAGGACAUUGUUGAUGCCAUAUCUGAUCAUCAUCGGGGGCUCCAGGGACAGGCCCUGGGCAAUGACCGACAGGUUCUUGGAGAGCCCCACCACAGCAGCAUUUUGGGGCAGAAGAGCCCGGACUUCCCCACUUCCGCCCGCUUUUUCAGACCUCGGUGGUAGCUGAACUCCUUGGCGCUGAGCUCCGCAUCGGGGCCGUAGGCCAGCCUGAAGCGCCCCAGGUGAUGCUGAGCUUGGGGAAGAGCUUCCGCGCGCGGCCCGGGAGUGGGCCCAGGGGGAGGCUAGAUCUGGUGGAACCGGGCAGGGGCGCGGUGUCCAGGGUGUCGUCCCUGAAUCAUCCCACAGGUCUGCAGGGUCACGUCGAUCAGCAGCUUCCCCUUCCUGAGCUCGCUCCUCUCCUUCUGCCCAGCGUUUCAGCCUGCCCUCUCUGGACCAGCUGUAGGCCCUGCCGCCCCUCAUCCUCCAUGCCAGCAAGAACACAGAGGACCGGGGCCUGCGGCCACGCUCAUCUCCACGUGGGUCCCCUUGUCGGACAGGACCUGGCUGAAGCCCACAUGAGCUCACUGUGGCCACUCCUUCUGGGGGGGGCCCUUCGAUAACACCUUGGUCUGGUGGCUGCCCUCCCAAGCAGUCUUCUAGCCCUCAGUGAAAAAGAGAUUGCUUGAACAUAUGCUCCAGCAAAAUGGAAAAGGAAUCAAGAAAAUCAGAAAUGAAGAACAGGAAUUCCCACGGAAAAGCAUUCCAGGAACAAAUGACAAGCCCUUUAGAAAGCAGUCAAUGUUAUAUAGACCAUUAACCAAGUACUAUGACAACGAAUCUGGAAAAUGACAUGGAUGUCACAAGAAUAUUUUAUGCUGCUUCUGUCAAACCUGAAAAGUCAAAAGUAACUAAACUCCAGAAAAAACAAAAGUUGCACAAAAAUUAUAAUCCAAAUUGAAGCAAAAUGAAAAUGCAACUCGAGUUUUAGUAUAAGAAAGUGUAAUACAUUUAUUCUUAACAUAAAUAAAUAAAGAGGAUGAGAGGAAACCUUUGGAGGUGAUGGAUGUGUUUACGGCAUUGACUGUGGUGAUGAUUUGACAAGUGUAUACUUACCUUCAAACUCAUCAACUUGUAUACAUUAAAUAUGCACAGCUUUUUGUAUGUCAAUCACACCUCAAUAAAGUGAUUAAAAAAAAAAGAAAAUGUGAUACAUUUAACCUAAAAAAUACAUUGGUCUUUUUCUUUAAACUUCGCCGUUUUUGUGCUGAAAUUAGAUUUUCUUCUCUAUACUGUUCUUUCUUCUCUGUGCACAGUCCAGUUACGUGACAAAUAAUAUUUACAUGAAC
rnacentral:lncRNA from 1 species